rnacentral:rRNA from 1 species
UACGGAGGGGGCCAGCGUUGUUCGGAAUCACUGGGCUUAAAGGGCGCGUAGGCGGGCGGCCGCGUCCGGGGUGAAAUCCCACGGCUCAACCGUGGAACGGCCUCGGAUACGGGCGGCCUCGAGGGGGGUAGGGGCAUCUGGAACUGUGAGUGGAGCGGUGAAAUGCGUUGAUAUUCACAGGAACUCCGGUGGCGAAGGCGAGGUGCUGGACCCCAUCUGACGCUGAGGCGCGAAAGCCAGGUGAGCGAACGGG